rnacentral:tRNA from 1 species
GGAGCUAUGGUCUAUCGGCAGGAUGGCUGACUGUCUAUCAGCCGGGACGGGUUCAACUCCCGUUAGCUCCGCCA